rnacentral:lncRNA from 1 species
UCAUCUAGAAAUUAAGAUAUACUAUAGAGAGCAGAUAUUGUAGUGCUGUUAUAUGUACUUAAAUACAUGCGUGUAAUUGUGUGUGUGUGUGUGUGUAUAUAUAUAUAUAUAUAUAUAUAUAUCAGUUGUUUUUAUAUAUGUAUUAUAUACAGGAGCUAGAUUGAGGAGAUUUGUAUAUAUACAUGACAUGACAUGCAGAUGAAUCAAGUAGAGGAGGAAGAGGGGAAGCUGCUGCCUGCUGGUGGGGGCUUGGCGAAUGUAGAUAUAGCUGAUCAGGAGUCGAUGAUCCUUCUUCUUCUUAUCUAUAUAUUUUCAGUAAUUAAGUCUGGCAAAACUCAAGCAAGCGUUCUGGAUCUAGCUAUAUACGUACCUUGCAAUGACCCAACUGCCCCUAGCUGUCCACAAAGGAAAAUAACUAUAUAAUGCUCGACUGUAAAGGAAUUGAACACUGCAUGUGGAUUGUGGGGAGCUCUAAUUAAAACUCCUUUCAACUGGAAUAGCCUAGAGAUUAAUUAAGACUUAAGAGGCAGACAGAUUGGAGCCAGGCAAUAAUAUAUAUAUAUAUAUAUAUGGAUAGAUUCCCAUAUAUAUAUAAUAUAUAUAUGUAUACUUAUACCAGUAUUUUUAAUUAAAUAUAUAGGUACUAUAGUUUCUUUGCUUUGAUUUCUCAGACACUUCCUUUGUUUCUUCUUAUAUUUAUUGUCAUUUUACAAUGUUUA